rnacentral:rRNA from 1 species
UACGUAGGCAGCGAGCGUUGUUCGGAAUUACUGGGCGUAAAGAGUGUGUAGGCGGUGUUCCCAGUCUGUUGUGAAAUCUCCCGGCUUAACUGGGAGGGUGCAGCGGAAACUAGAAUGCUAGAGGGUGGGAGAGGUAAGCGGAAUUCCGUGGUGUAGCGGUGAAAUGCGUAGAUAUCAGGAGGAACACCUGUGGUGUAGACAGCUUACUGGACCACUUCUGACGCUGAGACACGAAAGCGUGGGUAGCAAACAGG